rnacentral:rRNA from 1 species
GAUGAACGCUGACAGAAUGCUUAACACAUCAGCAACUGAUUGGUGGCGGACGGGUGAGUAACGCGUAAAGAACUUGCCCCACAGCUAGGGACAACAUUUAGAAAUGAAUGCUUAUACCUGAUACGGAGAGAGAGCUUUGCGUCUCAUUAUCUCGUUGGAGUGGUAACAGCUCACCAAGGCGAGGAUGGGUAGCCGGCCUGAGAGGGUGAACGGCCACAAGGGGAAUGAGACGCGGCCAUGGCUCAUACGGGAGGCAGGAGUGGAGAAUGUUGGAGAAUGGACCGGGUACUGAUAAAGCAGUGCUGUUUGAACGUAGAAGUUUUGGGAAUGUAAUGUGCUUUCAAUUGGGAAGCGGUACCAACAGAAGAAGUAACGGCUAAAUACGUGCCAGCAGCCGCGGUAAUAC